UACGUAGGGAGCAAGCGUUGUCCGGAAUCAUUGGGCGUAAAGCGCGCGUAGGUGGCCACAUAAGUCCGUUGUGAAAGUCAAAGGCUCAACCUUUGAAAGCCGAUGGAUACUGUGUGGCUAGAGUACGGAAGAGGCGAGUGGAAUUCCUGGUGUAGCGGUGGAAUGCGCAGAUAUCAGGAGGAACACCAAUAGCGAGGGCAGCUCGCUGGGACGUUACUGACACUGAGGCGCGAAAGCGUGGGGAGCGAACAGG
rnacentral:rRNA from 1 species